CCUACGGGAGACAGCAGUGGGGAAUAUUGCACAAUGGGGGAAACCCUGAUGCAGCGACGCCGCGUGAGUGAAGAAGGAUUUCGGGAUGUAAAGCUCUAUCAGCAGGGAAGAAAAUGACGGUACCUGAAUAAGAAGCCCCGGCUAACUACGUGCCAGCAGCCGCGGUAAUACGUAGGGGGCAAGCGUUAUCCGGAUUUACUGGGUGUAAAGGGAGCGUAGACGGCAGCACAAGUCUGGAGUGAAAUGCCGGGGCUUAACCCCGGAACUGCUUUGGAAACUGUGCAGCUAGAGUGCAGGAGAGGUCAGUGGAAUUCCUAGUGUAGCGGUGACAUGCGUCGAUAUUAGGCGGAACUCCAGUGGCGAAGGCGGCUUACUGGACUGUAACUGACGUUGAGGCUCGAACGCGUGGGGAGCAAACAGGAUUAGAUACCCCUGUAGUC
rnacentral:rRNA from 1 species